rnacentral:rRNA from 1 species
CCUACGGGUGGCAGCAGUGGGGAAUAUUGGGCAAUGGGCGCAAGCCUGACCCAGCAACGCCGCGUGAAGGAAGAAGGCUUUCGGGUUGUAAACUUCUUUUCUCAGGGACGAAGCAAUUGACGGUACCUGAGGAAUAAGCAACGGCUAACUACGGGCCAGCAGCCGCGGUAUUACGUAGGUGGCAAGCGUUAUCCGGAUUUACUGGGGGGAAAGGGCGUGUAGGCGGUACUGCAAGUCAGAUGUGAAAACCCCGGGCUCAACCUGUGGCCUGCAUUUGUAACUGUAGAUCUUGAGUACUGUAGAGGCAGCCGGAAUUCCUGGUGUAGCGGUGAAAUGCGUAGAUAUUAGGAGGAACACCAGUGGCGAAGGCGGUUUGCUGGACAGCAACUGACGCUGAGGAGCGAAAGCGUGGGGAGCAAACAGGAUUAGAUACCCUUGUAGUC